rnacentral:tRNA from 2 species
GGACGCGUGGCGAAAUGGUAUCGCGCUUGACUACGAAUCAAGAGAUUGCGGGUUCGAAUCCCGUCGCAUCCUC